AUGUGGACCUGUCUUCGUCAGCGCUAUGAGCCCUCUGGUGAUGCCUUAUAUCUUUCUGUGGUUCGUCAGGAGCAUGCUCUUCAGCAGGGUGACUCUACUGUUGAUGACUUUUAUGCACAGAGUUCUGCUAUCUGGCGUCAGCUUGAUUCUCUCCGCAGUGCUGGUUGUCGUACUUGCCCCUGCUGCCAGGCUAUCCAGGCCGAUUUGGAGUUUCAUCGCGUCUACGAGUUCCUGUCUCGGCUCCGUAAGGAGUUUGAGCCUCGGCGUGCUCAGUUGUUUGCUCGUGGUCGUAUUUCUCUCAUGGAGGCGCUUUCAGAGAUUCGUGCUGAGGAGACUCGCCUACGUGGUGCUGGUUUGAUGGAGGUGCCCUCUGUGCUCGCUACUCGGGCUUCUUCCACUCCACCUGCUGCACCGCCCCAUUCUCGCUCGAGUGCUCCGCCGCUCUUGCCCACUCCUUCUGGAGGCUCAGGUCGCCCCCGUCCACACUGUGACUACUGCAACAAUGAUGGUCAUAUUGAGUCCCAGUGCUACACAAAGCGGAAACACCUGCGCAAGGCGCGAUCAUCCUCCUCAGGGACUUCAUCUUCCUCGCCAGCUUCAGCC
rnacentral:rRNA from 1 species